UAUUACGGAAACUACACAGGUUGCUUUAUUCGUUYAGUUUUGAGAGGUCUACUCUCAAAUCGUUCAUUGAAAACUGGAUACAGAAACAAUAAUUUAAACAAACCGAGAACACCGCGUUGAAUGAGUUUUUUAAAUAAGUUCAAUUGCUUAUUUUUUUCUGAUUGGGAAGUCUAUCGCUAGAUGGAACAAUCAACCCCCUAACGYAAGUUAGGAUA
rnacentral:misc_RNA from 1 species